UGUUGCUAGUCGUUCUUUAUAUGAAACGCUCCUGUUUUACCCACACUUUGACCCCUCUCUCUCCUUCUUCUUUUUUUUUUUUGAAACAGAGUCUUGCUGUGUCUCAGGCUGGAAUGCAGUGGUGUGAUCUCAGCUCACCGCAAUCUCUGCCUCCCUGAUUCAAGUGAUUCUCCUGCCUCAGCCUCCCUAGUAACUGGGAUUACAGGCACACGCCACCACGCCCAGUUAAUUUUUUGUAUUUUUAGUGGAGACGGGGUUUCACCAUGUUGGCCAGGAUGGUCUUGAUCUCUUGACCUCAGGAUCCAUCUGCCUUGGCCUCCCAAAGUGCUGGGAUUGCAGGUGUGAACAACUGUGUCCAGCUGACCACUCUCUCCUUCUAAGCACCGCUGCCCUACCCUGAAGCAUGACAGUUGGACAGCGAGAGAAUUGGGGACUGGUUUUCAGGACAAAUGUUAAUCGCCUAGACUCGCCGGUAUCUCUUUCUCUAAAAUGUGGUGGGGAAGGUGAAGAUAAUCUGUAAAGAUGGGCGGGCAGUGCUAGUCGCCAACCCUUACAGAGGGAAGACCACCUACCAGCCCCUCUUCUGAAACGUCACUGCAUUAACUCAUUUAAUCCGUGCAAAAAUUCAGUGAAGUAGGUUAUUAGUCUCAGCUCCUUCUUACAGAUGAUGAAACAAAGAUGCAGAGAGGUUGUGUAGUAAGGCCAAGACCACCCAGACUACGGCGGAACUCGGACCAUAACCCAAGCUGGCUGAGUCCAGAAUCCAAGCUCUCUAUCCGUCAGUUACGCCAGAAAAGAUCAACUUUCAGCAUGCCAGAAGGUCUUCCCUAGCUUUUCCAAGCAGCAGUGUGAAUCUUAUAUAGAAUAUUCCAUAACCACUGAACAUUUGGUUCGAGAUGCCAAUUUCUCGAGGAUGAGGAGAAACACAGUUGCCUCCGCCAAGGUACCAGCCUCUAGAGUCUGUAAGCCAAUACCUACCACUUCAUUUUAAAACCCAUGCAGAGCCCACAGAUGU
rnacentral:lncRNA from 1 species